CAAGGUUCCUGAAUAAACUGCAUUGAAAAAAAAAAAAAAAAGCAGAAGCUAGCUUGAUUGGCAGACCCAUGACCGGAAGGAUCCCAUCCCAUUGAACGCUGCUUCAAAAAUUCCAGGAAGUUAAGGAACCAAAUGGGCCUGGGAGUGGCGUUCAGUCAUCUGGAAGAUGUCUGUGACUUUCCCUGCUUCCUGUGAGAUGUAGAGAGAUGCCCUUAACUCCAAGUCAAACCCAGCAAACAAAGACUCUCACUGACCACUUGAAGACUACGGAGUUGCCUACGCUAGCAUGGAAAAGAAGAAACAGCAUGUAUUCCGUGUUCCGAAGCCCCGUGUCAAAUUUGAAGUAAGAUUCAGGAAAGUGGAAUGUGAAGAGUGAACUCAGGGUAUGACUUUGAAAUAUUAAAUUACAAUGGAUUGAAAUCUGUGCCUGAAUUUAAGAUAUGCCUAAUAUUUCUAAGUUGAUAAAAUAUUGGUGGCUAAAUGCCAGUAUAUUAUUGACAAGUAAAUUAUCCAUUCCCCUCAACCUUGAGUUUCUUCAUAAAGAAAAGUAAGCUUUCUGCCUAUUCAUAGGAUGUCAAGCCUAAGGUAAUCAAGAGUUCAAAAGUACUUGUAUUGGCUAGACCUCUUGCAGUCCUGCUCUUCACCAUGAGAGGAACAUGAUUCUUCCAGCAGUACAAGGAAUAUGACAGUUACGUGGAGUAAAUGUAAACCCAAUACAUAAACUGCAGCCAUGCCUGACCUAGAACAGCUGGAUUCUAACCAACUGCUUCAUAUCUAACAAAUGCAUAAGAAGAUAUAAACUAAUUUAGUCAUUCUCUCCUAUUUAUAUGUGUUAGAUUAUUCAUCUUUUUUAUUUUAGUAACUUAAAGAGUGCUA